rnacentral:rRNA from 1 species
UACGGAGGGUGCUAGCGUUGUUCGGAAUUACUGGGCGUAAAGCGUGCGUAGGCGGUUUGUUAAGUCUGUCGUGAAAGCCCUGGGCUCAACCUGGGAAUUGCGAUGGAUACUGGCGAGCUAGAGUACGGUAGAGGAUGGUGGAAUUCCCGGUGUAGCGGUGAAAUGCGUAGAGAUCGGGAGGAACACCCGUGGCGAAGGCGGGUCUCUGGGCAAUUCCUGACGCUGAGACGCGAAAGCGUGGGGAGCAAACGGG